CCUGAGAAACCCAAAAGAUCGAAUGGGGAGAUUCAUCGUCAGCGAUCCUGGUACGUGUGCGGUUCGUGAUGGCGGUGGACCUCGGUCCACCGGCACUCGUCCGCAUGGUUUUUUAUUACCGGGUGUCGUCGGCGUGCACUUCUCCCCUAGUAGGACGUCGCGACCCGUUGGGUGUCGGUCUACGACCCGGGCGGUAGCCUGUCGUGUGUCACGCUUCACGGCGUCAUGUGGCAGACCCCCGGUUGUCCGACCGACUGCCCGGCGGUAUUCGCACGGUAUCGGGCCGCAAUUAUUGCAACUGCGUCCGGCCCGUCGCAAGCGAGGCCAGUGUUAUCCCGGAUGUACGGACCAAGUGCCGUCACCGGGCCUGGCCAGCUGUUGGCUGACGGUGUCCUGGGACUGGCUCUUUUCAUUUAUGAUACCGGUCGGCGACGCUACUGCUUUGG
rnacentral:rRNA from 1 species